GGUCAGGCAGUCAGUAGCUGUUACUUGCCUUCUCUCCUCCACUCCGUCCUCUCCUCCUCAAAUGCGCGUGUGGGAGUGGGGAACACCUUAUCUCAGACGGUCUCCAAGCGUGCCGAGCCGCAGGGGGCGCGGGGGAGCCCAGGGGGCGCCGACGGCUCGGCAAAGUUGGGCGUCUGCAUGUGCGCGCCAGCCGUAAGCAAGCAGGCAGCCACUGUGGUUCCCCUCGCACUCCCCCUCCAGAGAAUUCCCCGAGAAGGCGGGCGCCGGCUUCGGGCCCGGGAUAGACCUGCGGCGGCGGCGGGAACGGCCACGCACAGGAUCUGUCUUUGGAGGAACCCAACUGAAAACAGGAGAUGACGUCCACAUGGAGUCUCAAAGCUGAAUGCAGAUAAUUACAAGGCCCUGGGGAUGCCAGAGCUGCAAAAUAGAAGGAGUCUGAAUUCUGGAAUUGCCACAUGUGGGAGGAGCCACCCACUGACCAAGAAACACACUUUGGACUAUUACGCCAUGGAUUUCAAACAAGAGGCUGGAAAACUGGAAACUUGAUACUACUGGACAAGAGAAUUGGGUGCAUUAAAAAUAAGAGAAACAAAGGAUUUUUAAAAAGGAUACUACAGAAAUAUGGAGUGAGAUGAUUGCUCAUUGCUGUUCGCUAUGCACUCUGUGGAUUCCCUACUGAGAUCACUACAGAUGGAGAAGGGUGGCCUCCAUCAAAGCAAGUCAGAGAAACUCCCAGGAGGGAAGCCUAGGUGUCGUUUCCUGGGACCAAAUGAGAUGAACCAUCCAUUCUCCUGCCUGGAGCAUCAAAUCUGCCUGGCUUGACAUUCUGG